rnacentral:rRNA from 1 species
CCAGACUCCUACGGGAGGCAGCAGUGAGGAAUAUUGGUCAAUGGGCGCGAGCCUGAACCAGCCAAGUCGCGUGAGGGAUGACGGUCCUACGGGUUGUAAACCUCUUUUGUCGGGGAGCAAAAGACGCCACGCGUGGCGUUCCGAGAGUACCCGAAGAAAAAGCAUCGGCUAACUCCGUGCCAGCAGCCGCGGUAAUACGGAGGAUGCGAGCGUUAUCCGGAUUUAUUGGGUUUAAAGGGUGCGUAGGCGGGAUGCAAAGUCAGCGGUAAAAAUGCGGUGCGCAGCGCCGUCGAGCCGUUGAAACUGGCGUUCUUGAGUGGGCGAGAAGUAUGCGGAAUGCGUGGUGUAGCGGUGAAAUGCAUAGAUAUCACGCAGAACUCCGAUUGCGAAGGCAGCAUACCGGCGCCCUACUGACGCUGAGGCACGAAAGCGUGGGUAUCGAACAGGAUUAGAUACCCCCGUA